ACGGUUCACCUGUGGAUAGAAGGGGAGUGGGCUGCGCCUGAUUCCAGGCCCCGAAAGCCAAAAUGACCACCAACUGCGUCCACAUGCUCUACCUAUGCAAACCCCUUCUUCGCCCAUCCGCUUGCAAUGGUUUCAUGGGAUUCCCAGCUCUGUUGAAUUCUCGAGGAUCCACAAGACGCAGAGGUUUAAACGGCAGCAAGAGUAGGAGCUCCUCCAACAGGGCGAAAACCUCGUCAGGCACUGCAAGAGUGGUGUGCGGUCUCUUGCCGGUGGAUCCCUGGGCACCGAACAUCGAUUCCCAGAGCGUGGCCUCCCAGCUCUUCGCUGCCUCCCUCUUUCCCUACCUGGGGUUCUUGUACUACAUCACCAGAUCCAAGACCGUGCCCCGGCUCACCCUAUUUGGGUUCUAUUUCUUGCUCGCUUUUGUCGGAGCCACAAUCCCUGCUGGCAUAUAUGCGAAAGUGUACUAUGGAACCUCCUUGUCCAAUGUUGAUUGGCUGCAUGGUAGUGCGGAGUCGUUGCUUACUCUCACUAACUUGUUUAUUGUGUUGGGACUGAGAGAAGCGUUGAGGAAUGCAAAGGGUGCAAAAAAGAGCACAAAUCAAGCUGUUUCAGAAGUCAAAGAAAAAAGUUCUGUCUAGCUAAUAUAUGCUGUCUAUGUUAAGCAGCCAUUCUCAACUAUGCAACGUCACUUUGUUCAUUGGUUGGGAUCAAUUAUUUGGCAUGCCAGUCUAUGUCUGGUUUCUGUAAACCAAGCAACCAAACUACCAUAUAUGGUGCAGUGGAAUAGUGCAGGGCAUUCAAGGGUUAUUCCCAAUGGACUCAUUUCAUUGUAAAAACUACUGACUCGAGCAGCUCAGCCUGACAAUGGUGCUUUCCCUGUUCCUGAUUUAUGAAAUCGUUGAAGUUGGUUCAGCAAUAAAGGCUGCAUCCAAUUUGUGGAUUCUCUCAUGACAUUUCUACUUUUAGUAAG